rnacentral:rRNA from 1 species
UACGGGGGGAGCAAGCGUUGUUCGGAUUUACUGGGCGUAAAGGGCGCGUAGGCGGCGUGACUAGUCACUUGUGAAAUCUCCGGGCUUAACUCGGAAAGGUCAAGUGAUACUGUCGUGCUAGAGUACAGAAGGGGCAACUGGAAUUCUCGGUGUAGCGGUGAAAUGCGUAGAUAUCAGGAGGAACACCGGUGGCGAAGGCGGGUCUCUGGGCCGAUACUGACGCUGAGGAGCGAAAGCGUGGGGAGCGAACAGG